CUGCACAAUCAAAAAGGUAUGUGAAAAAGAAUUUAAGUGAGACUGCCACGCUGGUGUGCGCUCGAGUUUAGAUCGAGCGCUCCCUUUCAACAUGAACACCUGCAGAGCGGUAGCAGUGGCAGACCCACACUGUGCCUCACGAAGAGUAGACAUGCGGCGGAGAACCAAGUAAAAUGGAGAGUGAGCAGAGUUCCGGAUCUGAUGACGAAUCUAAAUGUGAAGGGAGAGCUGCGGCUCAUGAAGUGCAGCGUGCCUCCUUGGAUGAGUCUGUGUCUCCCAGGUCAGAUACUGAAGUUUCUCCAAGCACAAUAUUGAACCCCGGAUGGCCUCCCAACCUACUCCU